UCCAGAAUCCACUUUAGGUGAUUUGGAACCAGGUUUUCAAGAAUGGACACUCACAGGAGAAGACAGCUCCUAAGGUUAAUGAUCUUCUGACAUCACAAGCUUAGAAUCGCCAGUGGAGAAUACAACUGUUCCUCCCCAGAAUAAAACACGAGAGGAGAGGAGACAGGAGAAGAGACAUGCAGGGCAUCUGUCCGUGCAGAAGAGCCCAAACCCUGCUCUCCUCUCACCAUCCAUUCAGAAUGAAGGUGGAAAUUCGAUGCAAAGCCUCCUGGUCCUGGCUCAUUAUGAUUCUGUAAAGUCCUGCCAUUUAGGAAAUGCGUCUCAAUUUUGGUGCAGAUGAAGCUGGAAGGUGCCUGAAGCCAUGUCAAGGCCUGACAGUGGCUGCUGUUCACUUAAUCCCCGAAGCUGAGCAAGAACAUUGAUGUUGUCAUUGACAAUUUACUCUUGCAGUAUUUUUCUGCUAAACCAAGAAGGAUUGUGUCACCGGUGCACUAUCAGAAAUACAUGAAGGACUUGCCCCUUAUUAAGAGGUGCCCUGUCAGUCCAGCUCACAUUUAUAAUGUAACCCUAGCAACAAGCAGCCCCGUCCCUCGCAGGAAGCAAGCAGAAAAGUGGAGCUCUUCAGCCACAUUGUUUGCGAGAAGAAUUAGGCCUGCGUUAGGGACGCUGCAUGUAGCUGCCAAUCCACUUUGCUCCGAGAAUUUCUGCUUCGCAUUCCCAAUGCUCAGGCCGCAUCCUUUUCGGUGAUCUUCUCCAAGCACAUUGCUUCCAGGGAGAAAAAUACCCCUUUUCUUUGCCCAGUAUCCUAAAUGCCAUAAUUUAUUUUACUUUAAGUGGAAAUUGCUGAUUGCCUCCUGGAGAGUGAGAUGCAAUGAUAAAUCAGGCAGUUCUGAGCUCAAAAGUUUGGGCUCCACAGUGGGAGGCUUCUCCUCCCAGACCUGACACUGGAUGUGCUAUCAGAGCAUGAAUGUGUCGGGGGCAUCUUACCGCUGUCUCUGACCCCACUGUUCUUGCCAGCCCACUCUCCUCAAGGUAGAUCUUCUUUUUCACGUUCCUUCUGCCUAUCUGUUGCCAGGGGAGGGAUCACUCAUGGAAGCAUAAAGCAGAGCCAUUUCCAGAGAGGUUCAUGACUGAAAAGUGAGAACCAAGAAAAAUUGAUCUUAGGACCUUAAGAAAGCUGCCUCAUUCAAAGUGAGGUCUCUAAAACAAACCAGAAGAUGCUGUCUAAGAUUAGAGAUGCAAAGAGGAUGAGGAUGACCUGGGGCUGUGGGAAGUGGUAGACUAUAUCCAUCACCCUUGGGUUAGUUCCCCAGUACCAAAAAAAAAAAACACUAAGAUUUUCUCCAUAUCCUCCUCUCUCCUCACUUUAAUAAACAUUUCUCAAUAAAAUACCUGUCCUUUUGCUAAAAUACCUUGAACAGCAGAAUGUUCAAAAGAUUAAGGAGCAGUGCUUCAGAGAAUGGAAAGAAUGAUUCUUUUAUACCACAAAAAGCUCGUUCCCUACAUUUUGGUUGCAUAUAUCACCUGCUUUCAUGAUACAACAACUAGAUUUUUUUAAAACCACUUAUAGAACCAGAAUUUACAUAGACAAAGUUUGCUGGAAGGUCUAUCUCACACACCAGUAUCGAGCUCUCCAGCUCACCCAAUUACCAAUGUCAACAGACUCGGCAUCAGAUUCUAGUUGCAGGUGCCAACCAGUCUAGUAGAACAGUGUUCUCUCUGUCUUUAUAUUAUUGAUUUUAUUAUUAUAUUUUUAUUGACACUUAAGUGACAAUGGCAAAA